CUAAAAUAUGAGGGUUGGAGGAUAAACAUUGAAAAUUAGUAAAAUAUGUAACCAAACAAUUCACGAUCUUUCCAGGGCAUCCUCUCAUACAAUGAUUGUUAAUUGAGAUAAGUAUACAAUAGAAACUCAAUAAAGCGAAUCCAUGUACUAAAUGUCAUCGUACAGUCUUCAACAACGAGCAAAAUUCAUAUCAUAGUCCCCGAAAUGAAAAAAUUAAAGAAAAAAAUCCAAAAAAAAACAACAGACUAUGACCAAAACAAUCAACAAAACACUAAUAUUACAGACAGCAACCAACGAC
rnacentral:lncRNA from 1 species